rnacentral:rRNA from 1 species
UACGUAGGGUGCGAGCGUUGUCCGGAUUUAUUGGGCGUAAAGGGCUCGUAGGCGGCGUGUCGCGUCGGGAGUGAAAGACCGGGGCUUAACCCCGGUUCUGCUUCCGGUACGGGCAUGCUGGAGUGUGGCAGGGGAGACUGGAAGUUCCUGGUGUAGCGGUGGAAUGCGCAGAUAUCAGGAGGAACACCGGUGGCGAAGGCGGGUCUCUGGGCCAUUACUGACGCUGGAGGAGCGAAAGCGUGGGGAGCGAACAGG